GAUGAACGCUAGCGGCAGGCCUAAUACAUGCAAGACGAACGGUAAGUUGAGUAGCAAUACUUAGCCAAGAGUGUCGUACGGGUGCGUAACACGUAUGCAACCUACCCUAUACAGGAGGAUAGCCUAGGGAAACCUGGAUUAACCCUUCAUAGUAUUAUUGGAUGGCAUCAUUUGAUAAUUAAAACUGAGGUGGUAUAGGAUGGGCAUGCGUCUGAUUAGUUAGUUGGCGGGUAAUGGCCCACCAAGACGAUGAUCAGUAGGGGUUCUGAGAGGAAGAUCCCCCCACACUGGCACUGAGAUACGGGCCAGACUCCGUACGGGAGGCAGCAGUAGGGAAUAUUGGGUCAAUGGAUGCAAGUCUGAACCAGCCAUGCCGCGUGCAGGAAGAAGGCCUUCUGGGUUGU
rnacentral:rRNA from 1 species